rnacentral:lncRNA from 14 species
GCUUCGUCUCAGCAAAACAUCAGUCACACACCUGUCACACAUCUUCAUCUAGGCUACAAGACUGGACUGUCCAGAGACUUGUGAGUGGGAAACACAAGUCAGUAGAACCCCUGCAAGACAGAAGGAACUUGAAUUACUGGUGGAGAUUGCUGGGUUAUCAGUCAGUUGGAGCAAAGCUGGAAGGAAACCUUGGCUGUGGUGAAUAUACCUAUCAUAUCACAGUGGUGAUAAACAACCCAUGAGCUUUAUGCUACAAAGCUGUCCCCCCAGAGCAGAGUGCACAGGAUUCAAGAAUCCCUUUCACUUUGGAUAGGGAUUCCAGGUGGAUCUUUCUACAGCUGGAAACACAAGCCCCUCAAAUUGUGCACUGUCCUUGGUGGAGCCACAGUUUCUGAAGUGGGAAAAGGAGACACGGCCAGGUCCUUGCAGGGAGGGAGAGGAGGCACCAAGGGUGAGCUCAAGGGUCCUGCAGUGGGUCUGAGGCUUUGCAAAUCCCCAAAUCCAGGCAAGCCUUAAGCCCCCAGAGCCCCCUGCAGCUACUUGUCCCAAGGUGUCCUUUGCAGAGCAUGGCCUGUCCUUCCUGUGCUGUGUGGGACCAGACAGUGAUCAGUGGGGCCAUGUGAAAGACACUGUGCAAAACCCCCACUUUUUAAAAGGUUUGUGUUCAUUCUGGCUUUUCUAGGAGUUUUUUCACAGCAGCAAUACCAAAUCUCCACAGGGACACAGCUAAAAUCACAACAAACUGCAUAAGGGCAGGGAAGAAUGGAAGGAAACUCUUGAAUGAGGUUUUUCUGCCGAAGAAAAUGUCCAUGUGAUGACAUCAUCUUGAUAUAGAAUCAGUGCAUGAGACUGCCAUGGAGAAGGCUGGGGAAGAUGUUUGGGCCUUAUUAAAGCUGCAUGGACAUAAAUAGAUAUGCUGGAGUACAGCUUGAGGUCUAUGAUUCAUCCCAAUAUUACCUGACUGGAAAAGCAGAUGUGAACACGGGGUUUGUCCAAACUCCCUUUCCAAGCACCGCUUCCAGCCUGCUGAGGAGGCACUUUUUUGUUUUGAAAGAGCUGAACCAAGCCCCAGUAUUGCAGAACUGAGGCU